AACAGAGCUAAUGCUGCACAGGGUCUUUCUCUUAUGGAAUUUGCUCUCUGCUACUUCUUAGGCAUUUGGCACACCUAAGGAGUCCAGCUCACUUUGGAAGGCAGGACAGAAAUAGCUGCCCAGUCCUGGGAGCAAGAUAAGAUGCAAUUCUUUGAACUGCAGGAAGGACAACACGAGGAAGAAAAAUGUCAAGCCCUUGAAGAAACUUGGAGGUGAAUUUUCCUUUGGUGGCUCUAGGACUGCAGGGAGCAGCUGCACUGUUUUGUGGAGCUAAAUGACAUUGGCUGCAUAUGCUGCAAGUUCUGCAAUUUGUGCUGGCUUUAUUUUAAAUGCUGAGUUAUUUUAGAAGUAGACUUCCAUUACUGGCCCAUCAAGGGGAGUUCCACUUGAUCAAAUUUCAGGUUCCAGCUGCACAGCAUGUUCAAUCCAAACUCCAGCUACAUAUAAAUAUGUUAUAUGAUAGUUUAAGGCUUUUGAGGCUGUUUAUUAUAGAAAAGUUGUUCUGUGUACCCAUAUGCUGCACUAAUUUGAGUGAAACAAGCUAAUUAUAAGUUGAUGUCAUAUGGCUAAAAAAAUACAUGUUUAUGCCUUCUCUAUUUCACAAUGCUGACUUUCUCAACCACACUUGCAGAACACACAUGUGAUGUGUUUUCUGGGCCUAGGAGCUCACU